ensembl:snRNA U6 U6 spliceosomal RNA
GUGCUCCCUUAGGCUGAACACAUACUAAAGUUGGAAUAAUACAGAGAAGAUUAGCAUGACCCCCAUACAAGGAUGACACACAAAUUUUUUAAGCAUCAAUAUAUAUGU